rnacentral:rRNA from 1 species
GUGUAACAACUCACCUGCCGAAUGGACUAGCCCCGAAAAUGGAUAGCGCUCAAGCCGACGACCUAGACAGGACCGUUGGCGCAAAUGCGAUGCGCCAACGAGUAGGAGGGCGUGGAGAUUGUGAAGCAGCUUUGGACGUGAGUCUGAGUGAAACGGUCUCUAGUGCAGAUCUUGGUGGUAGUAGUAAAAAUUCAAGCGAGAGCCUUGA